GGCUAAAUAGAGUGCAGUGGUGUUUACAACUAAUUGGCCACAACCAGUUACGGAUUUCUUUGUUCCUUCUCCACUCCCACUACUUCACUCGACCAGCCUUUA
rnacentral:Y_RNA from 1 species